UACGUAGGGUGCGAGCGUUAAUCGGAAUUACUGGGCGUAAAGUGUGCGCAGGCGGCCGCGCAAGUCGAGUGUGAAAGCCCCGAGCUUAACUUGGGAACUGCGCUCGAAACUACGUGGCUGGAGUGUGGCAGAGGAAGGUGGAAUUCCAGGUGUAGCGGUGAAAUGCGCAGAUAUCAGGAAGAACACCGGUGGCGAAGGCGGCUCUCUAGUACGGUACUGACGCUGAGACGCGAAAGCGUGGGGAGCGAACAGG
rnacentral:rRNA from 1 species